rnacentral:rRNA from 1 species
GUGGAUUAGAUACCCUGGUAGUCCACGCCGUAAACGAUGGAUACUAGCUGUUGGGGGCGACCUCAGUGGCUAAGCGAAAGUGAUAAGUAUCCCACCUGGGGAGUACGAACGCAAGUUUGAAACUCAAAGGAAUUGACGGGGGCCCGCACAAGCGGUGGAGCAUGUGGUUUAAUUCGAUGAUACGCGAGGAACCUUACCAAGGCUUAAAUGCAGACUGACCGUUUUGGAAACAGAACUUUCGCAAGACAGUCUACAAGGUGCUGCACGGUUGUCGACAGCU